rnacentral:lncRNA from 1 species
AAUCAUCACUAGACAGCUGUCGGAAGGUGGGUUUUACGCCCCAGGCGAACCAGCAACAACUCCCUACUGUCACAUGCAUAUGCAGGAUACGAUACCAUAUCAAUAAUGUAAAUGCUACAGCUGUCGGGAGGUGGGUUUUACGCCCCAGGCGAACCAGCAACAACUCCCCACUAUCACAUGCAUAUGCAGGAUAAGACACCACACUGAUCAUGUAAAUACUGGCAAGUAUCCAGAACAGAAAUCCAUCUCACAUCUACAUACUAAACGGCACAUCGCGGGAAUUCUACAUCCGCGGAAAGCCAUACUGCACCUCGCGGGGUCUUACUAUGCCCGGCGGCAAGCAGAAUAUAAGUCGUAGGACCGGCCGAUCCUACGCCUAGGGCCGUGUCCCCCCUAGGAAGGGACUGGGCUCCGCCCACCCAGAAGGCUACUAUGUGCACAAAGGCCGAUGUUCAACCCCAUCGACUAUAGGUGUCCUGCAGAUACUGCCAAGCUAUGCAU